GAUGAACGCUGGCGGCGUGCCUAAUACAUGCAAGUCGAGCGAACAGAUGAGGAGCUUGCUCCUCUGACGUUAGCGGCGGACGGGUGAGUCACAAGUGGAUAACCUACCUAUAAGACUUGGAUAACUUCGGGAAACCGGAGCUAAUACCGGAUAAUAUAUUGAACCGCAUGGUGCAAUAGUGAAAGACUGUUUUUCUGUCACUUAUCGAUGGAUCCGCGUCGCAUUAGCUAGUUGGUAAGGUAACGGCUUACCAAGGCAACGAUGGGUAGCCGACAUGAGAGGGUGAUCGGCCGCACUGGAGGUGAGACGGGGUCCAGACUACUGAGAGAGGGAGCAGUAGGGAAUCGUACGCAGUGGGCGAGAGCCUGACGGAGCAGCGCCGCGUGAGAGAUGAAGAUCUUCGGAUCGUAAAACUCUGUUAUUAGGGAAGAACAAAUGUGUAAGUAACUAUGCACGUCUUGACGGUACCUGAUCAGAAAGCCACGGCUAACUACGUG
rnacentral:rRNA from 1 species